AUGGCUCUUUUACACAUUCUGACGUGUACUUUCUGGAACGUUUUGUUUCAAUCCCACUCACUGAUGAAUAAGCUUAAGAUGCCAAGAAUAGAUUACUAUGCCCUUUUCGCUAACAACGACAGAAACCCACUGUUCGUAGUUUGAUAGUAGGUGGGCGGACAUAU
rnacentral:snoRNA from 1 species